rnacentral:rRNA from 1 species
CAGACCCCCCGAGUGGUGGGGGAUGAUUAUUUGGCCUAAAGCGUCCGUAGCCGGCUUUGUAAAUCUCUCGUUAAAUCCAGCGUCCUAAGCGUUGGGACUGCGAGGGGAACUGCAGAGCUAGAGGGUGGGAGAGGUCAGCGGUAUUCCUGGGGUAGGGGCGAAAUCCAUUGAUCCCAGGAGGACCACCAGUGGCGAAGGCUGCUGACUAGAACACGCCUGACGGUGAGGGACGAAAGCUGGGGUAGCGAAUCGGAUUAGAUACCCGAGUAGUCCCAGCCGUAAACGAUGCAGGCUAGGUGUUGGGUCGGCCACGCGCCGCCUCAGUGCCACAGGGAAGCCAUUAAGCCUGCCGCCUGGGGAGUACGGCCGCAAAGGCUG